GACGAACCGUGCGACCGUUGUUCGGAAUUACUGGGUGUAAAGGGUUCGUAGGCGGUGUGGCAAGUCGGGAGUGAAAUCUCUGGGCUCAACUCAGAGACUGCUUCCGAAACUGCUGUGCUGGAGUGUGGGAGAGGCGCGUGGAAUUGCAGGUGUAGCGGUGAAAUGCGUAGAUAUCUGCAGGAACACCCGUGGCGAAAGCGGCGCGCUGGACCACUACUGACGCUGAGGAACGAAAGCUAGGGGAGCAAACAGG
rnacentral:rRNA from 1 species